rnacentral:rRNA from 1 species
AACGAACGCUGGCGGCAGGCCUAACACAUGCAAGUCGAGCGGACAUCUUCGGAUGUUAGCGGCGGACGGGUGAGUAACGCGUGGGAACGUGCCCUUUGCUUCGGAAUAGCCUCGGGAAACUGGGAGUAAUACCGGAUGUACCCUUUGGGGGAAAGAUUUAUCGGCAAAGGAUCGGCCCGCGUUGGAUUAGGUAGUUGGUGGGGUAAUGGCCUACCAAGCCGACGAUCCAUAGCUGGUUUGAGAGGAUGAUCAGCCACACUGGGACUGAGACACGGCCCAGACUCCUACGGGAGGCAGCAGUGGGGAAUCUUAAACAAUGGGGGAAACCCUGAUCUAGCCAUGCCGCGUGAGCGAUGAAGGCCUUAGGGUUGUAAAGCUCUUUCACCGGGGAAGAUAAUGACGGUACCCGGAGAAGAAGCCCCGGCUAACUCCGUG